AAUGGGAAAAUAACUGUAGCUUUAGACUCAUAUCUACUGUGGAUUCGCAAAGUAUCUUAGCUGUUUUUUUUCUCUCUCCCUGUUCUCCUGAUUUUUGUUUCCAGGUUGUUUGCAAGAGAUAUGGCAGGGUAAAGGGAGAAGUUGCGGAGUUUAGUGAAAAGAAAGCAAGAAAGGACAGUGUUCCAUGAAAAGAGGAGAGGAGAUCUAGAAAACACUAUAAUCAAAUUCGUCCUUCAUGUGCUUUUAUUGAAAAAACAACACAACACAGGCAGAAACGAGGGAUUAGUUGCAGAAUUUAAGGAAAAGCAAGCAAGAAAGGGUCAUGAAAAGAGGAAAAGAAAAAAAAAGGGAAGAGAUUGGAAAACAAUGUUCCAGAGAUCGUGCUUUUUACUAUUGUGAGCACCGUGGACUGCUGCAGUUGGUGGAGUUAGGCUAUAUGAUGUGAGGAAGACAUCGAGAAAUCGAGAAAGAAAGAGAUGGCUGGAGGGGCACUCAGAGAGGGGAAGGAUUGUUUCAAUUGAAAGAGGAAAUCGAUGAGAAACAGAGGUUUGCGACCCUUCUAACCCUAAUUGAAAUGUCAAUUGUUAACCUUUCGUACAUGGAAGAUUCCUCAUUCGCAGGUGGUAUAAGAGGUUGUGUCUGAUAUUCAUAAAUUAAAAUUUGAAACCUUUUUACUACCUUCCAUUGAAGAGUCAUUGAAGUGAGAUCAUGAAGUUUUGGAAA